rnacentral:rRNA from 1 species
CCUACGGGAGGCAGCAGUGGGGGAUAUUGCACAAUGGGGGGAACCCUGAUGCAGCGACGCCGCGUGGGUGAAGGAGCGUUUCGGCGCGUAAAGCCCUAUCGGCAGGGAAGAAGGAGGACGGUACCUGACUAAGAAGCCCCGGCUAACUACGUGCCAGCAGCCGCGGUAAUACGUAGGGGGCAAGCGUUAUCCGGAUUUACUGGGUGUAAAGGGGGCGCAGACGGCAGCGCAAGCCAGGAGUGAAAGCCCGGGGCUCAACCCCCGGACUGCUCUGGAAACUGUACGGCUGGAGGGCAGGAGAGGUAAGUGGAAUUCCUAGUGUAGCGGUGAAAUGCGUAGAUAUUAGGAGGAACACCAGUGGCGAAGGCGGCUUACUGGACUGUAACUGACGUUGAGGCUCGAAAGCGUGGGGAGCAAACAGGAUUAGAUACCCCGGUAGUC